rnacentral:lncRNA from 1 species
AAAAAUCAUAAUCCCAGUCAAUUAAGAUCUGUGUAUUAGGUCUUGAGCAGAGCUGAAACUCUAAACCUCAGAGUUGACAGGCUAGCAAUCACUACAGAUUAACUACAUAGACCAGCAGCUCUACGUAGAUGAAUGUCAGCCAUAUAUCUAUAUCACUUGGCAACACAAAUUUCAGAAACAACUGAUGAAUUGUUGUUGGUUUUUUUUAAUGACAAAUCAUGACAAUUUAAAACUUUUCUUACCUUGUUUACCUGGUUUAAACUGACCAAUCUCCACUAACUUUGAUGCAUUCAAUAACCCAUUUAAAUUACUUGACAGAAGAAAAUCUGUGCUACUUUGUAAAUGGAGGAAUCCAUCUUUGUUGAUCUCAACAUUCUUAAGAGGGAUCUCACUGUGUAUAGCUGUCUGGUUAAGGUUUACAUCCAUCGGACAUGUCAGAGAAUCUGACCAAACUGUUGUCAUUGUGUACUAAAAUGUAAGUAAAUAACUGUAAAUAUUAGAAUUAAUCAACUUUGUCUUUUAAAUUUUCAGUUUCAACAAACAUCUACAGUGUUAUUAAGGAAGCUAUUAAAGCUUAAAAUAUAUUCAUAUCCAUCAUUUAUGUCCUGGUGUUGUUGGGCGUUUCAUCUCCAGGAAAUAAUUUCAUCAUUUUGUUUACCACUCGUAUAGGUUUUAUUUAUGAACGCUUUAAUAAUUUUAAAUUCCUUGAAAAGGGAGUUAUUUGAUGCUGCCUAAAUGUAUGUAAUCUUUUUGUUUGGGAUUUGUCUUCUGUUUAUUUCAAAAAAGGUUAUAUGCUCCUGGUAAAUUGGGCAACAUUAAAUUUAGUAUGACAUGUAAAUAGUCUAUACAUUCACCAUAUAUAUUCCCCUAGUAUUUAACUCUUCCAAUGCUGUGGUGUUGAACACAAAACCCUUGCUACUAUUUAGAAUUAUUACAUAUUUGUUUGUAAAAUUAUGCUCCUUUCACAAACAUUAAUUUUUGAUACAAUGCAAGUCCUUAUGGAUUGCACAUUCAUGUACACGUAUCCUUAAGAUUAGUCCAAUUUUAGAAAAGACUACAAAUAUAUUACAUGUUAUUACAGCUGUUUUCA